GACGAACGCUGGCGGCGUGCCUAAUACAUGCAAGUCGAGCGCAGGAAACUGACGGAACUCUUCGGAGGGAAGGCAGUGGAAUGAGCGGCGGACGGGUGAGUAACACGUAAGGAACCUGCCUCAAGGAUUGGGAUAACUCCGAGAAAUCGGAGCUAAUACCGGAUAGUUCAACGGACCGCAUGGUCCGCUGAUGAAAGGCGCUCCGGCGUCACCUUGAGAUGGCCUUGCGGUGCAUUAGCUAGUUGGUGGGGUAACGGCCCACCAAGGCGACGAUGCAUAGCCGGCCUGAGAGGGGGAUCGGCCACACUGGGACUGAGACACGGCCCAGACUCCUACGGGAGGCAGCAGUAGGGAAUCUUCCACAAUGGACGAAAGUCUGAUGGAGCAACGCCGCGUGAGUGAUGAAGGUUUUCGGAUCGUAAAACUCUGUUGUAAGGGAAGAACACGUACGAGAGGAAAUGCUCGUACCUUGACGGUACCUUACGAGAAAGCCACGGCUAACUACGUGCCAGCCGCCGCAGUAAUAC
rnacentral:rRNA from 1 species